rnacentral:rRNA from 1 species
GAGUUUGAUCAUGGCUCAGAACGAACGCUGGCGGCAUGCCUAACACAUGCAAGUCGAACGAUCCCUUCGGGGAUAGUGGCGCACGGGUGCGUAACGCGUGGGAACCUGCCCUUAGGUUCGAAUAACUCCCCGAAGGGUGCUAAGUACCGAUAAUGUCUUCGGACCAAGAUUUAUCGCCUUUGGAUGGGCCCGCGUUGGGAUUAGCUAGUUGGUGGGGUAAAGGCCUACCAAGGCGACGAUCCAUAGCUGGUCUUAGAGGAUGAUCAGCCACACUGGGACUGAGACACGGCCCAGGACUCCUACGGGAGGCAGCACGUGGGGAA